rnacentral:rRNA from 1 species
AACUUUCAACAACGGAUCUCUUGGUUCUGGCAUCGAUGAAGAACGCAGCGAAAUGCGAUAAGUAAUGUGAAUUGCAGAAUUCAGUGAAUCAUCGAAUCUUUGAACGCACAUUGCGCCCGCCAGUAUUCUGGCGGGCAUGCCUGUUCGAGCGUCAUUUCAACCAUCGAGCCCCCGG